GCCUGCGACUCGAAAGAAUAUUCAAAGUAAGCUGAUAAUUUUGUUGCGUCAGAAGCUAAUCAGCCGGUAACGUGACUACACUGAUAUAGUUUGUGAUACAAACAUGCUUUAUUCAAUACUGAGUAGCAUUUUUAAACGGCGACAUUUUGAACAUAUUUAUAUUUAGAGUGAGAGUGGAUACACGUUACACUGGCGCCGACAUUUUGAAAAUUUGAGGAAACAAAAACAUUCUCCACCGAGUUCUUCAGCUCGGGGAAUGAGAGAAUAGAUUCACCUUUGUGUUGCUUUUCAGAUCGUAUUUAAUUCCUUUCCGAAUAUGGACGGCACUCCAUUAGAGCAUGUGCAUGGUUGGAUCUGUUGACAUUUUUAGAAACGCAUCUUGGUCUAUUAUACAGAGUAUUGUUGUACUGCUCCAAAGUGCUUGUUGACAGACUGAAACCACUUGCUUGCGGCUCAUAAGGUUCACUUCUUGAGAGCAGGCAGCUACAAAAUGGAAGGUCAACAAAUCCAGUAUACUUGAAAAGCAAGAAAGAAACACCAGAAAAUAUAAAAAGACAGAAGAACAAGGGAACUUUAAAAAAAAAAACUUUUAAAGAUAGGAAUUCAGGAUUUAUUUAGAAACUAAAUAUAUUUUGAGAACAGCAGUGUUUGACUAAGCCUUGUUACUUUAAGAGAUAAUGUGAUUAUCACAUUGGUUUUGUUAUUGUCGAGCCCGCUUGCGGAAGCGAAGACAUAGUUGUCCAAAUGUCUAUUCGGUGUAUGUGCGUGCGUGCGUCUGUCCGGAUUUGUUUGUCCGGACCAUAAUUUGGACAUGCAUGGAGCAAUCUUGUUUAUAUAUGGUAUGAAUUUUAACCUCAGUGAGACGGAGUGUCAUGCGCAAGCCCCAAGUUCCUAUCUCAAAGGUCAAGAUCACACUUACAGGUCAAAGGUCAAAUUCAAAAAUGACUUUGUCCGGAGCAUUUCUUCUUCAUGCAUGGAGGGAUUUUGAUGUAACUUGGCACAAUUGUUCACCAUCAUGAGAUUGAGUGUCAUGCGCAAGAACCAGGUCCCUAGGUCUAAGGUUAAGGUCACACUUAGAGGUCAAAGGAUACAAGAAUGACAACUUUGUCUGGAGCAUUUCUUCUUCACGCAUGGAGGGACUUUGAUGUAACUUGGCACAAAUGUUCACCACCAUGAGACGGAGUGUCAUGCGGAAGAACCAGGUCUAAGGUCAAGGUCACACUUAGAGGUCAAAAGUCAGAUACAAGAAUGACUUUGUCUGGAGCAUUUCUUUUUGAUGCAUAGAGGGAUUUUUAUGUAACUUGGUACAAUUUUUCAUCAUCAUGCGACGGAGUGUUAUGCAUAAGAUCCUAGAAUUACUUCCCUUUGUUGUUACUAUAAAUAGCUUACAUUUGUAACUUGUUUAUUACUGGUCGUAGGGAAAAAUCAAGACCACUUUUCUGUAGUACAACAUGCAUGUUACAUCCAAUUUUCAGGUGUAUUUUGACCUAUCUCUGCUGGUGCGGAUUUUUGUGUGAAUUUUUUUUUUAUUUUUUU